CGGUCCGGUUGAUACUUCAAGGGAGAUUUUGAAGUAUGAAUCGGAUCGGUGCCGCAGCAAACGCGAUAAGUGCACCGCCUGGGGAGUAUGCCCGCAAGGGUGAAACUCAAAGGAAUUGACGGGGGCCCGCACAAGCGGUGGAGCAUGUGGUUUAAUUCGAUGAUACGCGAGGAACCUUACCAGGGCUUGACAUAUACAGGAAUGUUAUAGAGAUAUAGCAGCUGCUUGCAGUCUGUAUACAGGUGCUGCAUGGUUGUCGUCAGCUCGUGCUGUGAAGUGUUGGGUUAAGUCCCGCAACGAGCGCAACCCCUGCUGUCUGUUACCAUCAUUAAGUUGGGGACUCAGACGGUACUGCCGGUGACAAACCGGAGGAAGGUGGGGACGACGUCAAAUCAUCAUGGCCCUUAUGUCCUGGGCUACACACGUGCUACAAUGGUCGGUACAGAGUGAAGCGAAGCCGCGAGGUGGAGCAAAUCGCUGAAAGCCGGCCUCAGUUCGGAUUGAAGUCUGAAACUCGACUUCAUGAAGGUGGAAUCGCUAGUAAUCGCGCAUCAGCAUGGCGCGGUGAAUACGUUCCCGGGCCUUGUACACACCGCCCGUCACACCACCCGAGUUGGGGGUACCCGAAGUCACUAGUCUAACCAGCAAUGGGGGACGGUGCCGAAGGUAUGCCUGGUAAGGGGGGUGAAGUCGUAACAAGGUAGCCG
rnacentral:rRNA from 1 species